GAAAUAACAUGAUGUGUAAAAUUAGACUUUGCAAAAUAAGCUUAACAAUGCAUGCAUCCUAAGUGUGUGCGCGCUCACAUUAUUCAUUUAUUCUUUCUACCAAAACCUCAUAUAAUCAAUCAGAUUUAUCAAUCAAACAAAACAACAUCCCCGGAAUUAUAUUUCCAUCCGUUGGCAUUAGCUUAACAUAGCUCAAAAUAAAAAGAAUCUCGUAGCAAUCAUCUACUGACCAAAACAGAUCAUAUGCAAGUAAAUAGAGGAACAUAAAAUACAUAAUAUACUCCCUCACAAAACAUGUAUAUGUAUAUAUAUUAAUAUCAAAUCCCCACUUUAAAACUAUUAUACACUAAAACUAAUUGGGCCAUCAAAUAAUAUAGUUAGUGGUGCCUCAACCAAUUAAAACAAAAAAAAGAUUUAGUUAGGGGCCCAAAAUUUGUAAGUGAAUUAAAUGGCCCAAGCCAUUAAACAAAAGAACUACAGUAUACUCUCUUCCAUCAUCAACGUAUCUCUCUCCCUUCUCCUUUCAAACACAGCAACCCUAUGUCUCUCUCUCUAUCUCAAAUUUUCACUCUCUGCCUCUGUAAAACUGUAAAACUCACGCCCCCCCCCCCCAAUCUAUAUUAUUCUUCUAAAAUUCACAAACCAUCUCUCAAAUUUUGGUGUCUCAAUUUAGGAACAACAAAUCCCCAAAAUUAGAAGCACAAAGCUGACAUCUUUCUCCCCCUCGAUCUCUCCUCGCCAUUGAUAGAACUCGCCGCCGCCAGAUCAGUGCGGCAGCUUCUGUCAAAACACUGCCGCCGCGGCCUACCGUCGCCGAGUAGCUCCGCCCCUCACAACUUACAAAUGGGUUAUCAAGAAUUAAGAUUUAAUGAGAUAAAAGGCAGAAUUGAUUGCUUGCAAUGGCAGGAACAAUUCUGAGUUAACAAGAGUGUUGCAUUCAACAAGUUUUUCAAGAAUUUCAAUAGGGAUUUAUUCCAGUGUGUGAUUAUGUAAAACUAAAUCAUGGGAUGGGAUGCAGAUGAUUCAGAAAAAAAAUAGUGGAUAUACCUUCACGGAAGAAGCAGAACUUGCAGAAGAGAAGGUAUUGAAAAGAUAACAACUCUUUGGGUUUCUCCUCCAGACGGUUUGUUGAGAUUGUGGGAGGAGAUGUAUAAAUGGAGUUAAUAGAGUAUUUGGUUGGAGAUUUUUAAGGAGUGGUGGAGAGAUUUUAGGAGUAGAGGUUUUGGUGAAUAAAGAAAACGUGUAGGAGGGUUUAGAGGAAGAGAUUUAUGUUGGCUGCAGGAAUGAAAUAGGAAUUAGGAAUAAAUGGCUAUAUUAAAAAUAGCCCAAUUGAAUAAGGAUAAAUGGGCUAAAAAAAUAGACAAAAGUGAUAGGCCCAAAAAUAUAUAAUUUUAGUACAUUGAUUAAAUUGUGGUGUUUUAUUAAUUUAGUACUUUGGUGUUAUUCCAAGUACAUUGUAAA